rnacentral:rRNA from 1 species
GAGUUUGAUCAUGGCUCAGGACGAACGCUGGCGGCGUGCCUAACACAUGCAAGUCGAGCGAUGAAGCUUCCUUCGGGAAGUGGAUUAGCGGCGGACGGGUGAGUAACACGUGAGCAACCUGCCUCAAAGAGGGGGAUAGCCUCCCGAAAGGGAGAUUAAUACCGCAUAAUAUCAGAGUUUCGCAUGAUUUUCUGAUUAAAGGAGUAAUCCACUUUGAGAUGGGCUCGCGGCGCAUUAGCUAGUUGGUGAGGUAACGGCUCACCAAGGCGACGAUGCGUAGCCGACCUGAGAGGGUGAUCGGCCACAUUGGGACUGAGACACGGCCCAGACUCCUACGGGAGGCAGCAGUGGGGAAUAUUGCGCAAUGGACGAAAGUCUGACGCAGCAACGCCGCGUGGGUGAUGAAGGUCUUCGGAUUGUAAAGCCCUGUCUUCGAGGACGAUAAUGACGGUACUCGAGGAGGAAGCCACGGCUAACUACGUGCCAGCAGCCGCGGUAAUACGUAGGUGGCAAGCGUUGUCCGGAUUUACUGGGCGUAAAGAGUGUGUAGGCGGAUAAUUAAGUCAGAUGUGAAA